rnacentral:misc_RNA from 1 species
GUUUGAACCACGGGAAAUUACCGAAAAAUGAAAAAUCCAUUGCUAGAUGAUGGAAGCCACAGCCGAUUACGCAACUUCAGCCACCAGAACUUGUACAAGAGGACCUAUAAAUCUUCAUUGAUUUAGCACAAAAAUGAGUUCAUCUGUACAGAGAGAAAAGGAAAAAAGGGGUUUUUGUUUUUGAGUAUUUCUUUGGUUGGAAUUUGUUGGCGUGAUUAUGGGAACAUGUGAC